UUUAAGGAUUCUUUUGAAUCCACACUGAGAUAACAAAAAAACUAA
rfam:Corvus brachyrhynchos isolate BGI_N302 unplaced genomic scaffold scaffold255, whole genome shotgun sequence.